rnacentral:lncRNA from 1 species
GUAUUGACUCCUUGGUUUUCACAACUGAGUGGAAGAGGAACUGGUGUUGUCUCUGCUUUGAGGAAUGCCUAAGUUUGUACAGCUGCUACAGGAGGAAGCCUUUGUUCCGGAGAGAGGCAGAGACUCCAGGGCCUGGGGAAUCCUAACACAAUGUUCCACUGCCUCUCAUCAGUCCUGGCCAGCAGACAGAUCACUCCUCCACAGACAGUAGCCUCAGAGGAAGAGUGAUGUCCACUCUUGGAUCUAGGACAGCACCCAGCACCUAGAAGGCCUCAGCUGGGAAGUGCUGGAUCAAAGAAUAAAAGAGUGAGAUUGGGCAAGACACAAUAAGAAAUGAAGGCCUUAGACGAGUCAAGUUGGGGGAAGCAUCCUGAAACUCUACAGCUCAGCAGAUCGUGUGAAGCAGUCAAGAGGCCCGCGGAAAUAUUCAUCUGGACCCACACACUCGCUCUGUCUGCCUCUCCCGCCCUGUCUGUGUGGACCGGAUGUAUUGGCCGAGCCAGAGGAACAAGGCAGCUUCAUGGACAUGGCGGAUUUUGCUCGUCCAGGAGACACUGGACGCAGGUCAGCUCCCUCUACCCGCAUGGCUGUGGGAGCUUCAUUGGGUAGAAUCUGAUUAGGAACCUUUGGAUAAAUAGAACUGAUAUUUAAUGUUCAGCAUCAGGUGUAAAAUGAAGGUAGGGAACUGGAAAAAAAUUUGUGCUGUAAAAUCUUUAAAUGUGGUUGUUUCUGAAUGGUGCUGGGUAAUUGUUUGGAGAUAUUAUGAUCUCUCCUCAUGGAAGUUUCAACACAAUGGAAUCAGAGAUUUCAGAGCAUGGAUUGCAUUUCUAACUCUUACUCCAACCACUAUGGGUAGAACCUUCCAAUUCAUAAUAGCACCAUCAUGAAGUGGACCAAAGAAGGGGUCUUCUAUUUUUCUCAUCAUCUGGAUACUGAACAUGUGAUUUUUUUUCCAUUGGAUAUAUUAAAAUAAGGACAUCACCAAAUUCUGUAGGAAUAAUUCCUCUCCUGUAGUCUCUAGUAUGCUCUGACCAAACAAUGUGCACUUAAUCAUUUCCUAAACAUCUCAACUUGCUGAGAAGCAGUACUCCCAAGUGCUUAAAUCCUUAGCCUUGGAGCAACUAGGGA